rnacentral:rRNA from 1 species
GAUGAACGCUAGCGACAGGCUUAACACAUGCAAGUCGAGGGGCAGCACAGGUAGCAAUACCGGGUGGCGACCGGCGCACGGGUGAGUAACGCGUAUGCAACUUACCUAUCAGAGGGGGAUAACCCGGCGAAAGUCGGACUAAUACCGCAUGAAGCAGGGGCCCCGCAUGGGGAUAUUUGCUAAAGAUUCAUCGCUGAUAGAUAGGCAUGCGUUCCAUUAGGCAGUUGGCGGGGUAACGGCCCACCAAACCGACGAUCAGUAGCCGACCUGAGAGGGUGACCGGCCACAUUGGGACUGAGACACGGCCCAA